AGAGUUUGAUCCUGGCUCAGGAUGAACGCUGGCGGCGUGCCUAACACAUGCAAGUCGAACGAAGCUUGACGGAUGAUUUCUUCGGAAUGAAACCAGAUAUGACUUAGUGGCGGACGGGUGAGUAACACGUGAGCAACCUGCCUUUCAGAGGGGGAUAACGGCUGGAAACGGUCGCUAAUACCGCAUGAUGUGUUCGGAUGGCAUCAUCUGAACAUCAAAGAUUUAUCGCUGAAAGAUGGGCUCGCGUCUGAUUAGAUAGUUGGUGGGGUAACGGCCUACCAAGUCUACGAUCAGUAGCCGGACUGAGAGGUUGAACGGCCACAUUGGGACUGAGAUACGGCCCAGACUCCUACGGGAGGCAGCAGUGGGGAAUAUUGCACAAUGGGGGAAACCCUGAUGCAGCAACGCCGCGUGAAGGAUGACGGUUUUCGGAUUGUAAACUUCUUUUCUUAGUGACGAAGACAGUGACGGUAGCUAAGGAAUAAGCAUCGGCUAACUACGUGCCAGCAGCCGCGGUAAUACGUAGGAUGCAAGCGUUAUCCGGAUUUACUGGGUGUAAAGGGAGCGCAGGCGGGACUGCAAGUUGGAUGUGAAAUACCGUGGCUUAACCACGGAACUGCAUCCAAAACUGUAGUUCUUGAGUGAAGUAGAGGCAAGCGGAAUUCCGAGUGUAGCGGUGAAAUGCGUAGAUAUUCGGAGGAACACCAGUGGCGAAGGCGGCUUGCUGGGCUUUAACUGACGCUGAGGCUCGAAAGUGUGGGGAGCAAACAGGAUUAGAUACCCUGGUAGUCCACACUGUAAACGAUGAUAGCUAGGUGUGGGGGGUCUGACCCCUUCCGUGCCGGAGUUAACGCAAUAAGCUAUCCACCUGGGGAGUACGACCGCAAGGUUGAAACUCAAAGGAAUUGACGGGGGCCCGCACAAGCAGUGGAUUAUGUGGUUUAAUUCGAAGCAACGCGAAGAACCUUA
rnacentral:rRNA from 1 species